rnacentral:rRNA from 1 species
UACGUAGGGGGCUAGCGUUAUCCGGAAUUACUGGGCGUAAAGGGUGCGUAGGUGGUUUCUUAAGUCAGAGGUGAAAGGCUACGGCUCAACCGUAGUAAGCCUUUGAGACUGGGAAACUUGAGUGCAGGAGAGGAGAGUGGAAUUCCUAGUGUAGCGGUGAAAUGCGUAGAUAUUAGGAGGAACACCAGUUGCGAAGGCGGCUCUCUGGACUGUAACUGACACUGAGGCACGAAAGCGUGGGGAGCAAACAGGAUUAGAUACCCUGGUAGUCCCUGA